GUUACGCAGCUGCAAGCUGAGAGAAGGUCGCAAAAUGCAGCUUGAAUCAGAUGGACUGUAAAUAUGCUACUUUUGAGCAAAUAAAGUGCUACUAGGAAAGAAGAAACGUGUUCUACUUCUUUUACUGCUCUUUCUACACGGACGCUGUGCAAUUCUGCUAAUUGCUUUACGACCUGCAGAGGCUCGCAGGGGGAAGUGUGCUGGACGACAAGAGUAAAGCAAUAAAUUCUUACCUAACAG